GCAGUGGGAGUUCAGUGGCUAAUUUUUGCCUUCCAUGCAGGAGACUCAGGUUCAAUUCCUGGCCGACGCA
rnacentral:tRNA from 1 species